CAAUAACCCUGUGAGGUAGGGUUGCAUGGCUGAAGGGGGAAUAGAAGCCAGGCCUCCUGCAUCCCAUUCUGACAUUCUGAUCUCUGCACCAUGAUGACCCCCUAUUCAUAAUGUCAGUAUGUAAAUACAGUAUAUCUCACCAUAUUGUGGAAGACUGUGACCAGAUAACGUGGGUGACAUGCUCUGUCCAGGGACAACUGAUGGCUAACUUCAAGGCCCACUUUUAACGUCUGAUAUUUCUUUCUCUUUAUACUGGAUUUGGACAGGAGUGUACUUUGGAUAGAGGGUCCAUUCAGAACAGUAGACCAUCCGGUGCAAGGACACAUGGCCACCCUAUCUUCUAUCACAAACAUAUUUUCUCUGAAGCAAAUCCUACUGAUCUUGGUGACUCGACUUGCAAGUAAGCAGGCCAAGACUUAUUCCCUAUAGAUGAUGUUCCUUGUUUUCUUCUCUGUGAGCGCAAACAUCCAGGGUACUGAUAGGAACACCAAAAGAACCGUCACAGUGCAGCUGCAAAGCAUCUUCUAGAAGACACUCUGCUAACAGCACAAAGAGCCCAAAGUUCCCUUUUGGAGAAGUCCUAGAGCAUCCUCCAAGAAGGGAUGGCCUGCCAUAGAGCUCAGCAGUGCAGGACAGUGCGUGUGUGUGUGUGUGUGGGGGGGGGGCUGGUGAGAUUAUCAGUGAUGCGAUUAUCAGAGAUUAUCAGUGGUGUGGGGGCUGCAGUUUAUGUACCCUGCCCUAGGAGGAGGACAUUGCACAGUACAGCAUGGCUUGGACACACAGUAUGUUCCUAACCUUGGAUGUAGAUAGCAUAUGAGGCAACUGCUAUUCCUUAAAAAUGUUUAUUUCAGUGGAGUUUAGAGAUAGAGGUGGCCUCUUAGAUAUGAUAAGCAGCCUUGUUUAGGAUGUUAUGAAUGAGAACCAGAACCUUGAACUGCGUCCAGUAAAAACAACAGAGGAACCCAAUGUAGACUGUCCUCUAUUGGAGGACAUCUUCUAUAUUAAGGGUUAUCCUGUCCAAUUUCAGUUUAAAGAUCAAGAUCUGUUGCCAUACCAACUCUUAUCCUUUAUAUAAGGGUAAUCAGUCUCUAUCUAUCAUAGAUAUAGGCUGCUACAUCUGAUUACCUAGAUCACCUCUGGCAAAAUGUACUGUAUUUCUAGUUAAAUUAUAACAACUAUUUCUACACUUGCAUGUAUUCACAUAAGUUAGGACAUACAGAUUUUUAUACACGCACACCGACAGAUGAGUGAUACGUUUCUCCCAUUUUUGGAGAGCUAAAAGUGGCUAUUCUGCUAUCAAAUAGCAUACAAGAUGCUUUUAGUUACCUGUUGGAAAGAUGGAGCUAGUUGUGCCAGAACUCCUAGAAACAGAAAUGUACUGAUAAGAGUAACUGAAGUACCAUCGAUUCCAAUGCAUGUAUUUUGUGUGUGGCUAAAGCUGGGACCAUUCCAUUGUUUUCAGCACUCCUUUUAAGAACCCCCUUUGCUCCUCUGCAGGAGCCUUUCCCUUUCCUUCUUUGGUUGGAGUGCCUUGUGGUGACAGAAGCUUCCAGGUGCUUAAGGACAACACCACAUGAUCAUAGACCAGCCGCAAAGUGACAACGGUUUCUCUAUAUGCCAUGGCCUCUGUGCUCAGCUGCCUUGUGGGGCAGAAUCCCCAUUUUUUCCAGUAAAUAAAGGGGCUAAUUCCA